UGUCACGUUACAGUGCAGUGCACCGACUGACUGCCGCUAUUUGCUUGGAUGUUGCUGAAAGAAAGGAGGCAUUCUUCAUUGUGCAGCACUAGCCUACUGUGGAGGCCGAGAGAGUUUUGACGAGGCUUCUGUACCCAGGAGGCGGAGGCAGCAAUUCCAGCUUCAAUGCGCACAGUCCUUUAAAAGGGACACCCAGCUAAGAUUUUAUUGCAAAUUCUACACAGAAUGCACUGCUCUACACAUUUGGUUUUGGAAACACUGUGUAUUAUUGUAAGUGUACACCAGGGGUGGGGAACCUUUUUCAUUUGAAGGGCCACUUCAAAUUACUCUGAGGGCCG